rnacentral:rRNA from 1 species
AGAGCGAACGCUGGCAGCAGGCCUAACACAUGCAAGUCGAGCGCCCGUAGCAAUACGGGAGCGGCAGACGGGAUAGUAACACGUGGGAACGCGCCCUUCGGUUCGGAAUAACUCAGGGAAACUUGAGCUAAUACCGGAUACGCCCUUACGGGGAAAGAUUUAUUGCCGAAGGAACGGCCCGCGUCCGAUUAGCUAGUUGGUGAGGUAAUGGCUCACCAAGGCGACGAUCGAUAGCUGGUCUGAGAGGAUGAUCAGCCACAUUGGGACUGAGACACGGCCCAGACUCCUACGGGAGGCAGCAGUGGGAAUAUUGGACAAUGGGCGCAAGCCUGAUCCAGCCAUGCCGCGUGGAUGAUGAAGGCCCUAGGGUUGUAAAGUCCUUUCGACGGGAAGAUAAUGACGGUACCCGUAGAACGAAGCCCCGGAUAACUUCGUGCCAGCAGCCGC